UACGUAGGGGGCGAGCGUUGUCCGGAGUUACUGGGCGUAAAGCGCUUGUAGGCGGUCCACCAAGUUCGGGGUGACAGUUGCCGACUUAAUCGGCAAAGUGCCUCAAAGACUGGCGGACUUGAGGGCCACAGAGGGACAUGGAACUCCAGGUGUAGUGGUGAAAUGCGUAGAUAUCUGGAAGAACACCAAAGGCGAAGGCAGUGUCCUGGGUGGUCGCUGACGCUGAGAGGCGAAAGCCAGGGGAGCGAACGGG
rnacentral:rRNA from 1 species